rnacentral:rRNA from 1 species
UCCAGAGGGGGCAAGCGUUAUUCGGAAUUAUUGGGCGUAAAGGGCGCGUAGGCGGCGAUUCAAGUGACGGGUGAAAUCCCUCGGCUUAACCGAGGAACUGCCUGUCAGACUGGAUUGCUUGAGGCCGGGAGAGGCGAGUGGAAUUCCCAGUGUAGCGGUGAAAUGCGUAGAUAUUGGGAGGAACACCAGUGGCGAAGGCGGCUCGCUGGACCGGUUCUGACGCUGAGGCGCGAAAGCGUGGGGAGCAAACAGG